GGCAGCAUAGUGGUUAAGUAUUUGGCUGCUAACCAAAAGAUCGGUGGUUUGAACCCACCAGCCG
rfam:Loxodonta africana unplaced genomic scaffold scaffold_0, whole genome shotgun sequence.